AUAUAUAUAUAUAUUUGUAUGGAUAUGUAUUGAUUUUUUAAGGUAAUCAAGUCUUAGGUAUUCUCUCAUAAGUUGUUGAGAAAAUACAUAAUUGAUACAUAACUUGUACUUGAGUUGGUAUUUUAUUUUAUCUCUUUAAAGCAUGUGUUUGAUUUAUCAAUAGAAAGAACCAAAAACAAGGCAUUGGUUUUUCCAUAACCUUAAGCCUACUUACUCUUUGGCUCAAAAAUUGAUACUAAAUUGGGCUUACAAAUGAAUUUCCCAAAACUAGUAUAUUAUCCUAAUGAUCAUUCAUAUUUAAAGGAACCAUACCAGUAAGUGGGAGACAGCAACAUUAUGUACUGUGAGUUUCUUGUAUGCAAUAUGUGGUUGGCAUAGUUAUUUCAACAACUCUGGAAGUCUGUCUUCAAUUGUUAUGUUUAUGUAUUACACAUUUAAAAACAAUUUUGAUUUCAGACAUAUACCUGGCAUAUAUUGAUAGCUUAAUUUUUAUCAUAUAUUUACUCAUAUUUCAUCUUUUCUUUACUACCAGGCAUUAAUUGGCCAUUUUGUUUGACAAAUUAAAAUGAUUUCUCAGAUUCUACCUUUAAUAAUCACUAUAGUGGUAUCUAAAGUUCACAGUAUAUUUUAAUGAGUGUGAAUUCAUUUCACAUAUUAAAAUAUCAUUCCAGAUACUAACAUGCAUCUUAUAUUUUACCAUCUUACUAUAGAAUAAGAUUUGUACAUUCAGCAUAUGUAGAUCAUGCUUAUUACAUGACUAAUUUCAUGUGCUAUUUUCAAGAUAUAUCUUAAAUUUCAUUCUUUAUUUCUAAGAAAGUUCAGCUGAUAAGCAUAUCCAUCUGGGGCAUGACUUCUUACAAUUUUUGUUCCAGGCAUCUUCUUUAGUUCCCAAGAUUAUCAGGGUCUGUGCUUACAAUGACCAGCUGUUUAUAUUCAAUCUAUUUUUCUACGAUAGCUUUCCUGGCAUUAAUCAUAGUGUUAUAAAUACCUUUGUUGAAUAAACAAAAAAUAUCCCAGAGCAAGAAUGGAGGAAGGAAAGAAUGAAAGAUAUGUCAAUAUGGUGGAUCAGGGGAUGGACCCAGGCAGAAAAGCAGCUGGAAGGUAUGAACCAAUAAUUCAGGACAGCAUUUUCAGAACAGAGAUAGAAAGCAAAACAAGAUGUUACAUUUUUCUGAAAUAUUCUGAAAAGCAGGCAAAUUUAGGAAGCUUCAAAGCUGUGGCCUGGUAAUCUGUUGAACUAUGGGCAGGGAUUAUGUGAAGGACAAAUACAGAAUCAGCUGGAAAUUACAUGCCAGGAAUAAGAUUUAGUAGACCCUUGUUUGUUAGGCAAACUAGAAUAAUCUUGGUAUAUUUCCAUUAUUUUUCUCCUGAUGAACAAAAUGACCUAAAUUGAUGUUUUAGAUAUACCCAAAAGCCUUAGUAGAUAUCUUUAUAGCUUUUAUAAGACACAACAGUCACUUCAGUAUUUGUACUUCACUAAUAAAAUUAGUAAUUUGAAAUUACAACCUUAACUCACAUGAAACUAAAUGCCUCACAAAUGAAAGAUCUUAUUUUUUGUUGAUAUACUAAUAGUCCCUGGUAUAAUACCUAAUAUAAGUUUAUAAUUAAUUGAUAUAUAUAUAUAGAUAGAUAGAUAGAUAGAUAGAUAGAUAGAGAUAUAGAUAUAGAUAUAGAUAUAGAUAUAGAUAUAGAUAUAGAUAGAUCAUUGGCCUCUAAUAAUAAAGAUGCAAAUAAUUUCUCUCAGGAAGAUUUGGCAAGAAAAUAUGUACCUUUCUUCAUGUAUGAACAGAGAGUAACUGAUGGACUGGGGGUAAGUGGGGAUGAGAUCUGAAGUGAUUAUGCCAGGGGACAGAGGAUAAGAGUGCAGGUAGAGAUAUCUGGAAUUGUGUGUACUUGGGAAGUGGUGUGGAAACCUAGUAUCUAUGAGGGUGACCCUACUGAGGACUCCUAGCAAUGGAGGACACAGAAUCUUCACUGGCCAUUUCUAUUACCUGUCAAAUUUUCCGUUAUUGUGUCUGGGUUGCAUUCCGAUGAAUUGCUAACAGAUGUUUAGGGUCCUAUAGCCAUCCAUUAAUAACACAGGUUGAUGCUAGAAUAGAGGAUCACUCUGCUAUAGCUGAAAGCAGGGGCCCAUUGCAAGGACAACAUUCACACAGAUCAUUGAACUUAGCAAAGUCAUGCUGGUGCCUGCAUGGAUCCUUUACCACUAAUUUCUAGUUUCUUUGUCUCUGGAAGGUACCCUGAGGCUAUGGAAAGAGAAACCUGUACACCAACCCAGCCACAAAACUCUAAACCUUCAAUCUAUUCUGAUGCAAGUUGUGCUGUGGAAAUGAUGGAGCAGAGUUUAUGGGAGUAGCCCACCAAUGUCUGGUUUAACUUGAAGUGCACUCCAGGAGAGGGAGCCUGUGCCUUGUACUGCCUGGAUAGCCAGGAAUCAGAGACUGGAUAGAACAGAGACCUAGGGUAGAACAAAACAUACCUUGCCAAAAAGCAAAAACAAAAACCAAAGAAAUGAUUCCUAAUAAUAUUCUGUUAUACUCAGGUCGGUUACUUGCCUAGUCAUCAUCACACACGCUGCCUCUGGCUUCAGAUGGAAGCAGGUGCAAGAGGCUCACAGCUAGACAUAAUGCUUAAGAGAGUUUAAAUAUGAGGUCUCCAUAGGGUCUCCCCCUUGGAGCUCCAGUAACCCAGGAGAGGCAGGAGAAAGACUGUAGGAAUCAGAGGGGAUGGAGGACACCAGUAGAGCACGUGAUCACUGAAUCAACUAGGCAUGGCCUCAUUGAGCCUGAUGCAGCAAGCAAAUGGCCUACAUGGGUCUACACCAUGUCCUCUGUGUAUAUGUUAUGGCUGUUAUCUUGGUGCUUUUGUGGGUACAGGUGUGUCUCUGACUCUUCCCUGUUCUUAGGACUCUUUUCUCCUGUUGAGUUGCCUUAUUCAGCCUCUAUAGUAGGGCUUUUGCCUUUACUUAUUUUAUCUUUUUUUGUCCUGUUUCAUUGUUGUCUUUUGGAGCCCUGCUGUUUUCCAAAGGGAAAAGUCUGGUGAGAGGAUCUGGGGAGGAGAUGAGGUACAGGGGGGUAGGGGGUGAGGAGUAGGAGUUGGAGGGAUAGACUCUGUGGUUGGGAUGUAUUUUAUGAGAGAAGAAUGUAUGCAAAAUUCACAAAAAAGUAAAGCAUUACCCUGAAUGUAAAAUUAAAAAAACAUGGUAAUGUUAUAAGGAAAAAUAUAAAACCCGAAUAACACAAAAUUAUGGUGAAAUUAGAUUACUGUAAGAGUUCGUUUUAUAUAGUGUUCAUGUGAAAGCCUGAAUUUCUUCAUAUAGGAAUGUAUCUAUCCAGUAUAGCUGCUGAAAUUUACAGAAUAUUGGAAAGAAUCCUAGGCACCAUCAAUAAAAUCCCAAAUGUUUAUCAACUCAAACUUGAUAUUCAUUGGCAUGGCUUCAGUUUCUUUGUUAAAUGUUGCAGCCUCAGACAUAUGGAACAUAAAUAUUGGAUGUUCUUGUUGGGAAGGUUCCGUGAUUUGUAAAAUACAUUAAUAAAAUAAAAGACUAUUAAAAGCAUGCAAUAGUUAUGUACAACUUGUCAUACAUUGAAGGGAAACCAAAAACAACAAUAUUUCCAAUGUGUCAGACCAAUCAUAGUAGAUUAUAUGUUGAACCCACAGAUUGUUGAUUUGCUCAGAAUAUCAACCAUUGUGAAAAUAACCUGUGGCUUACAGAUUUGGCAUCUGGACUAUAAAACAAAGUACUACAGUGCCAUCUCCUGGAUAGCAAAAUUAUCUAAAACUGGAGGUGAGAUUUAAUGUAAAGUCUUCAUUUAAUUAGUUCAUAUUAACUCAAACAAUGAGGGGAAGAGAAGAGAAGGAUAGCAUUUAGGGUUCCAAUUUAUGGAAAAUAGUAAUUAUGUUCGGCAUACACAAACAAACUGUUCAAUAUCCAACUCUUACAGCAUCAUUUUUUUUAUUUCGUAGAUUAUAUCUAAAGGCACCAUUAAUUAUUUCAUUAUCAUUUUUCAAAAUAUGCUGCCUUAAAAAAAUUAACCAUCUCAGAUCCUGUAGUUGAUUUCCUAUUUAAAUUCAGUUAAGAACAUUUUUUUCAGGAGGUCCUAUCUCGUCAUUCUAAUCCUAUGACAAUUGUAAAACUUAAUGCAGAAUAGAUAUUAUAAAUGUCUUAAGUACACACUGAGCAUUUUUCAUUUUAUUUAGAAUAUUUUUAUAACUCCAUGUAGAUUCCAAACCAAAGUUUUCUUUUAUUCAAGCAGAAGCCACAAAACUUUCAAAUUUACUUUGUGAUUUUGAACUCUUGAGUGCUCUAUGAUCAAUAUUUAAUCCAGUUCAUCUAAAAUUUUCAUCAGUGAUAUCUUUAUUCAAAAAUGCUAUUUAUUGCUUUUUCCAAUAUGUUACAUGCUAUUUCUGUAUGUGCUAAUUCUUUAUAUUUAAAUAAAUAUUUCAUAUAUUAUGUUUUAGCAUAUCAACCCACAUAUCCAGCAUUUGUGUAAAGAUUACCCUUGGAUUUCACUCUCAGUUUUAUGAUGUUCAUUAUGUUCCACAUACAUUUGAUAUUAUAUGAUACUGUUCUUACAUUUGAUAUUAUAUUGUAUAGGAAUACAUUUAUAGCCGGGCAUUGGUGGCGCAUGCCUUUACUCCUAGCACUCGGGAGGCAGAGGCAGGUGGAUCUCUGUGAGUUUGAGACCAGCCUGGUCUACAAGAGCUAGUUCCAAGGCAGCCUCCAAAAGCCACAGAGAAAUCCUGUCUCAAAAAAACAAAAAAUGAGUACAUCUAUGGGAAGAUGUAUACUAAACUUGUGAAAACAAGCAUGAAGUUUCUUAUUGACAUUUUACCAAGUUCAUAGUUGAAUCUAGAGAAAACUAAAAUGAAUUUACAAUGUGCAAUAAACAACACACUUGUCUGCAGUAUGAAUAACCCAGAAAAUAACUAUAAAUGCCCAAAGCAUCUUGAUAGCAGGAUUGAAUUUGAACAUGUUCAUGUGUUAAAAUUCAUCUAAAGAACCACUGAAUAAGGAGGCAGGCAUUUUUUUUUCAAAUCUUCAAUUGUAUCAAGUCCACUGAAAAAAUCAUCUAUGAACAAUGUAUACAGAUUCAUUUAGAGCAGAAAGUUCUAUGUGUUUUUAUGGCUGUGUAUAUGUUUUUAAACACUAGCAAAAUGUUGGUUGGCCAAACUAUUCAUCCCUACACUUUCUAUCUGUUCUUUACCACUUGACAAUCUUCUCAUAGAAAUUUCUUUUAUGCAGGUGUAUUCUUAUCCAAAUGAAUUGAGAUAUGCCUCCCUUGUUUGACAGGCUUAUUCAUGAAAUUAAUGAUUUCAGCAAUUAUCUACAAGUGUUUGGUUACCAACUAAAUGCUUCUUUUAUAAUAUUCUAAAUUUAUUCACUGUUUAUGGAAAUUUGCAUUGCUUUUCUAUUUGGAUGCCCAAGAUAGAUGUUGUAAAUUUAUAGUAUAUAUAACGCAUAAAGGGACUUAGUGGAGCCCAUUCUGUAUGGAGAAAUACAGUGCUCAGCCCAGACACAGGGGGGUGGGAUGGUGGAGAGGUGCCUUGGCCCUGCCUCAACAAGAUGAUAGGACAGAGUUAGUAGACUUCCUAUGGGAGGCCUUAACCUGUACAAGGAGCAGAUGGAGGUAGGGGAGUGAGGGGAGCGGGAGGAGAGGAGAGAGAACUGUGAUUGGAAUGUAAAAAAUAAAUUAAUAAAAGAAUUUUAAAAAUUAAUAGUGAUUAGCUUUGUGAAGGUAUAUGCUUUCAUUUUCCUUAGAUAAAGGCAAAAGACUGGUGGAUGGACAGUAACAUAGAUGAUCAAUAUAAAAGCUAUCAAUACUAGAAAAAAAAAACAUUUCCACCAUCAGCCUUUAUUUGUGCUUUGCAGCUGAUUACUGUAAAUGAUAUAGUGUAAUGUUGAGUAUAAUUUGUAUUUGAACAAUUUUCUUUACUUUAUAUAAGCACUACAAAAACAACAAAGAACACAAUUUUUCUAAUUUUCUGUUUUCAAAGAAAAUUAUCUGUUCAUCUAAAAUGUUUAAUAUGGAUGUGUGUCAUAACUGAAUGACUAAAAUUAUUAUCUAUAUGUUACCCAUGUUCAGCUGAUACAUACAAAUAUGAAAAAAUAUAUAUGUAUUAAUUAGGUAACAUGAUCUCUUGAUUGGUAUUAAGGUUGUGUAACCUUUAAGUCACACUGAACAUGCAUACCUCCUAAAAAUUUAGAUUUUAAUAUAGAGGAGUUUUCAUUGUCUUAUUUGUCUCUAUCUCUUUUUAUUCAUGUUAUGUUCUUAAUUUCUAAUUUCACUAUAUUUAAGAGCUUUAAAACAUUAUUUUAUUAGGAGACUAUAUUGCUUUUGAAGGAGUGGAAAUGCCAAAAGUGAAGUUAACUUGCUUUUGAAUAUUCUAUUUAUACCUAAUAAAUGAGGUCACUGAGUAUAUCCACAUGAGUGGAGAAUUAAACUUUAACAGAAAUACAAAUGUUAAAAUAAAGUACUUAUAAAAAUUUAUAGACCUAGUUUGAAAUAACUUGUAUAGAACAUAUUGAAUCCUCAAGAAAAAAAGGAAUGAAAUUAAAAGAUAAGUCCUUGUCUAGUGUAAAUUCGACAAAGAAUUUCAAUGCUGCUUGUUUCUAUUGUCGAAGAUCAUAUAAUCACCAACAAGAGACUACAGGAAAGAAAAAAAGAAUGAAUUCAAAUGUGAUUUUAUUAAUGUAAAAUACCUUCAGAAAAGUCAAUAUUCUAAUUGAAAAUGUUUUGGGUGAUGACCAACCUUGGUAGUCAGAAAUAUUUAUAGUUGUAGUAGACAAGCCAAAUAACGCAACUAAUAAAAUUGGGACUUGCAUUCUUCCCCAAACAUAGGGAAUGGGAAUUAUCCACCCACUUUUGAAAGCUCAUCCCUUACAGUCAAGGGGGAAAUCACUCUGUAAAGCCAACAUUUGAAUGUACUGAUGAAUUAGAUUACCAAAACUUUAAACACACAUUUACUUUGCAGAAUUUUGUUUUCCUUUGGCUUUCAAAUGGAGUUAAAAAAGAUUGUCAUUUGAACCUAUGAAAGAGCAGUGUUUGUGGAAAAGAUAACAAGUUCUGGCAAGGAUGUGGACAUGGAGAAAGGGAAACUGUGUGCUAUUAUCACUUGUGUAAAUUAAAAGACAUUAUGGAAAAUAGAAUAGGGGUCCCUGCAAAAAAUACAAUUUUACCUUGUGAUCAGAAAAUUCUACUACUGGACAUAUAUUGAAAAUUGUAACUGAUAUUUCGAAAGGACAUCUUUUCUCCCAUAUCAUCACAACACUGUCCAUAACAUCCAAGAAACAGAAAUACCUGUGCCACUUCUGGUGCUCCAAAACUGCAAUCCUAGCUCCUUGGGAGGUCAAAGCAAAAUGAUGAAAAUUAAAGUCCUGUCUGUACUGCAGAUUGCAUUGAAGGCAAGCAUGGUGAAUUUAUUACAACAAAAGUAAGACGACAAAAAGGGCUUGAAUGGAGUUCAGCAGUAGAGUUCCUGCAUAGCAUAAUAGGAACCUCAGUACAUUUACAGUUCUGUAAACAAGCCAUCCUCAAAACAACCAAAAAAAGUACCAUUGAAUACCUUUAAGUGGAGGCCAAGAGGAGAAUUAUAGAGUAAGAGUCUAUCUCUUAUAAAAUAAACAUGUUUAUAAUCUUCUUUUAAACUGGGAAUGUUUUAGUAGAGGUAUCUUGAAUUUCCACAAGCAGUAUUUAUGCAAGUAUCUCAUCAUGGUGUUUUCUAUAAUAUAGUAAAGGUGUUUUAAAUGAAAAAAAAAAUGUAACAUGCCUCUUACUGUUAUUUCAACCAUUGCUCAUUUUACUAUUUUAUUAUGCUUGUCUAUUAGUUCUCUUAUGUUUAUUACAAUUAUAUAUUUGCUUUUUACAAUCUUAGUCUAAACUUUUCUGCAAUGCUGUUUUCACAAGUAUAUUCCUAAUGAUUCAUAUAAUGUUAUAUACAUCAAAUAAUAUUCUUUUAAAAUUUGAUUACAUUUCUUGUGUGUUUUUUUAUUACAGAAAUCAGGUACUUUAUGUUUUAGAUUCUAAACUUUAGAAUGUAGUUUACUGUGAACCAAGUAAAUAUUUGUUCACAUUGUUUUUGGUUAAUCUAUAUUUCACUUGCUUAGAUAAUCCCGUUUAAUAGGUAGGAAUAUUUUCUCAAGCCUAAGCAAUGACAUUUGUUUUAAAAGAAAAGCCCAUUUCUUCCAUUGUGUUUACCAGAAUGUAUCAUCUUCAGUUUUUUGUUCACUUACACACACACAAUUCUGAUUAAAUUAUUAACACACACACACACACACACACACACACACACACACACACACACACACACACACAGUACCUAUCUCCAACUCUGCACUACUUUAUUACAUAGAGUGUUCAGUAUUUCCUUACAUUUGCUUAGCAAAAUGCUUUAUUUUUUUAUUUUUUAAUAACUUCACAUAUCUGUUAAAACCAGUUUCUUCACAUUGUUCCUCUUCUAUUUGGUAUAAAUUCAUAGGUCUUAAGUUCUAUAAAUAAUCAUUUUUGUGGGAGCCCAUAUCAUCUCUUCUGGAGGCAUAAUAACCUAAAGUAAUACAGAAUUCCCAUGUGUUGGGAUUUCAUGUAAGAAAUAGUAUUCCUCUCCCUCUCCUGAAGAGAACAUUCUAAAUCAAUAGGCUUUCUGUUUGAGGGAUCGGGCAUGUUUUGAAAUGCUGAAAUGAGUCAUGUUCGAGACUACAGCAAUGACUGCAGCCUCAUUUUUAAAAUAUAUAUUAACUAUUGGGUUAACACAUAUUGAAAAUUAAUAUUUGUGAUAAUAAAAUAAGGUAUUAUAAAAGAAGUUUCUAAUACAGGAAAAUACUGUGGAUGAAAGAAAAACUCUGUAUGUACUGCAAGAGUCUUAACAGCAGCCAAGAUUAAUAGUCUCCCAUACAUCUUUAAAGGGUUGACCUUGCUGAGGUCUGGAGGGCAGACCAAGAAAACUCAAGGGCUUGAGCUCAACUCCCAAGGUUAAAGACUUCCGUCCCUCCAGUGUAGGAGGUGAUAACUGGAUUGCCCGUUAAUCACAUUUCAUUUUGUCUUUUAGAAAAAUUCUGCAGAGAUGAGCUAUAAAAAUAAACACAAAUGGAAUUUAUGACAGUUUUUAGGAGGUGCCUUGGGCCAACUUUGGAAUCAAUGAAUUUGUUUCUGACUUUAAUGUUUAGAAUGACUCCUUCAUAGACCUUGGAGUAAACAGCUUAUCCAAUGUUAUUCUUUGGGAACAUACAAUAAGUGGGAUUUUCUUCAUCAAAACAAAGCAUUUAUGAUUAGACAUUAAAGUUAUUGAUUCUUCUUGCAAAGUUGUUAUAAAUCCUGAGAUAGUUUGAAAGUGUGUAGGUCAUAGAGGAUUUACAUCUGGAAAUAGCAUGUAUCUAUCUCCCUGUUGGAGCCUAGUGUCUAGAAAUAACCCUUAGCAUGUCAGCAGGAAAUGAUGGAGGCUCCCUGAUACACCAAAGGCAUAGCAAGUGCCAGCAGUUUAGAAGCACAAAGGAGAAAAAGAACAAAUGUCUAAAUACAUUUUCGUUUGACAGAAGACUUUCAAAAACGACUAUAUGUUAAAUUAAAAGAAAUAGAAGAGGGAUUUUAGAGGAAUUGAGUAAAAUUAACAUAUAUUUAUACAUCAAAUUGCCAAUAUUGCUUGCAUUUACACACACACACACACACACACAUGAUGACAUAUGUAUAUGUGGCCAUCAUCUUCCUCCACACACUUUCCUGUAAGGAUGCACUAUUUUAAAAUUCUAAGUCAUCUAAACAUCAGAUAUGGGAGUUUUUUUUUGUUGAGUGAAUUUACUUGCUUCAAUAAAUUACUAAAUAAAUAAUUGAUAAGAAUAUAUCAAAGAUAUUCCCUAUAUAUUUGAUGAAAUUGUUAAUCUAACACAUUAUAAUAAAAGGAUUCUGGUGCAAAUAAAUUACAUUUAUGUUUUUCUCUUUAAUUUAAUAAAUGUGUUUAUGUUCUCUUUAUUUCCACCACUGUUCUUCCUAUGCAUUGAAAGUUUCAUGGUUUUCCUGAAAGAGAUUUCACAUGCCAGUCAACACAACUGGCUAAGCAGACACUAGCUAAAGCUCAAAAUAUUUAGCUUUCAAAUGCAUUUUAAAUAUUUACUUACUUCAGAAGUUAAAACAAUUCAUAAACUCAUUUCAGUAUUGAAAUGGUAAGACAAAUGAUGACUUUUCACUGGGUGAAACAAAAUCUUUAUGUAGUAGUUGGAGGUCAUAAAAGUAAAAUGAAAAUUUGAACUCUUUCUUUUGGAAACAAAUUUCUGUCAGUAGCAGGCCCCACCAUUCUCUGACAGUAUAUUAAGCUAUUUUGUGAAACUAUUCAUCUUUUACAUAAUUUUAACUUUUAUCUAUAUUAAAGGUUUAUUAACUACUAGUGUGUGUGUGUGUGUGUGUGUGUGUGUGUGUGUGUGUGUGUAUCAAAUGGUAGUUAAUGGAGGAAAUACAUUAAUAUAGAAGGGGACCUAAUUUUCUUUUCCUAAAAAUUGGUAGAAGCAGAUGUAAGAAAAUAUAUUUAAUUUUUGUCUUCGCAGACUUUGACUUGGUAAAUGGGUAGAUGCUGCAGGGGAGUAAAUUUUAGACCAUCAAGAGAUCUCUGCAAAGAAGAGCAAAGGAUUGGAGAAACUUGUUAUUUAUUCAUAGUAAAGACAAUAAAGGAGACUUAAGACAUCCUGUGAAACAACAGGAUGUCUGGUGUCACCAGCGCCAGCACCAGUGACAGAAGAACUAGACCAGGUGAGAGUCUGCAGAUUAAGAAGUGAAUGCCAUUGGUUUAUUGCAGCCAGCAGUUUAUAUACAACCAUAACAAGAGGAAAUGGAAAAGUACCACCUGCUAGCAGAACAUUCCCAUGCCCUAUCGUAAGCAAGGAAAUCACAACCCCUGCCCAAGGCCAACGAAGCAGGAAGGGGAUGGGGGCAAGGCACAAUGUUUCAAAACAGGAAGUAACAAAAGGUCAGCACAGGCCUAAAGGUCAGGUCUGUACCCAACAGUAAGGAUUCACAACAGGAUGUUGAUGCUAGUGGGGGGAGGCCAGGAAAACUGGAGGUACCUGUGGCUAUACUGGAAAAUGAUUCACAGAGACCCCAUGGGGGCUGGAUCCCAACAGUCUGAUCUAAGGUGAAUGCAACCGGAUGCUUGGCAUAGGAUGUCAUCACUGCAUUUCCUGCCUGAACAAUAGAAUACUUCACUCGGGAGAUAGUUACUUUGUUCUUUCACUGGACAUCCUGUCUAAACAAUAGAAUACUUAAUCCAGGAGAUAUCUACUUGAUGUUUUCAGUAUUGAGAAGGUAAUUAUGCUUCCUCAUUUUCUGGAUCUUGGUAAAGAAGUGUGUUGCUUUCUCCCCCUCUUUUGAUGGAAGCAUAAAAAGACUAUGCACAAUAAACAUGGGCAGUUCAGCCCUCCUACUCUA